rnacentral:rRNA from 1 species
AACGUAGGUGGCAAGCGUUAUCCGGAUUUACUGGGCGUAAAGCGCGCGUAGGCGGCUUUGUAAGUUAGAGGUGAAAGCCCGGGGCUCAACCCCGGAACUGCCUUUAAGACUGCAUCGCUUGAAUCCAGGAGAGGUGAGUGGAAUUCCGAGUGUAGAGGUGAAAUUCGUAGAUAUUCGGAAGAACACCAGUGGCGAAGGCGGCUCACUGGACUGGUAUUGACGCUGAUGUGCGAAAGCGUGGGGAGCAAACAGG